UACGUAGGGUGCGAGCGUUAAUCGGAAUUACUGGGCGUAAAGCGUGCGCAGGCGGUUUGCUAAGACCGAUGUGAAAUCCCCGGGCUUAACCUGGGAACUGCAUUGGUGACUGGCAGGCUAGAGUAUGGCAGAGGGGGGUAGAAUUCCACGUGUAGCAGUGAAAUGCGUAGAUAUUGGGAGGAACACCGGUGGCGAAGGCGGCCACCUGGGCCGGAACUGACGCUGAGGCGCGAAAGCGUGGGGAGCAAACGGG
rnacentral:rRNA from 1 species